UCUCUACCCCAAAUUUGCGUCACCCUGGGCAUCUUCACCUUGUCGACCUCAAGACAUAGACUUCCAUGUUCCAUCUGAGUACUUAACGAACAUUCACAUUAGGGAUAAGUUAUUUUUCUUUUUCAGCUGGCUGCAAUAAAACUUGGCCGAUAUGGUGAAGACCUUCUCUUCUAUCUCUAUUACAUGAAUGGAGGAGACGUAUUACAACUUUUAGCUGCAGUGGAGCUUUUUAACCGUGAUUGGAGAUACCACAAAGAAGAACGAGUAUGGAUUACCAGGGCACCAGGCAUGGAGCCAACAAUGAAAACCAAUACCUAUGAGAGGGGAACAUAUUACUUCUUUGACUGUCUUAACUGGAGGAAAGUAGCUAAGGAGUUCCAUCUGGAAUAUGACAAAUUAGAAGAACGGCCUCACCUGCCAUCCACCUUCAACUACAACCCUGCUCAGCAAGCCUUCUAAAAAAA
rnacentral:lncRNA from 1 species